rnacentral:lncRNA from 1 species
GAUUCAGACCCUGUCAGUGUACCAGGUGGACAUUGGGUUUGAUUCAGACCCUGCCAGUGUACCAGGUGGACAUUGGGUUUAAUUCAGACCCUGCCAGUGUACCAGAUGGACAUUGUGUUGAUUCAGACCCUGUCAGUGUACCAGGUGGACAUUGGGUUUGAUUCAGACCCUGUCAGUGUUCCAGGUGGACAUUGGGUUUGAUUCAGACCCUGUCAGUGUACCAGGUGGACAUUGGGUUGGAUUCAGACCCUGUCAGUGUGCCAGGUGGACAUUGGGUUUGAUUCAGACCCUGCCAGUGUACCAGGUGGACAUUGGGUUGAUUCAGACCCUGUCAGUGUUCCAGGUGGACAUUGGGUUUGAUUCAGACCCUGUCAGUGUACCAGGUGGACAUUGGGUUGGAUUCAGACCCUGUCAGUGUGCCAGGUGGACAUUGGGUUUGAUUCAGACCCUGCCAGUGUACCAGGUGGACAUUGGGUUGAUUCAGACCCUGUCAGUGUUCCAGGUGGACAUUGGGUUUGAUUCAGACCCUGUCAGUGUACCAGGUGGACAUUGGGUUGGAUUCAGACCCUGUCAGUGUGCC